rnacentral:rRNA from 1 species
UUAAGUUAGAAAGGGCGCACGGUGGAUGCCUUGACACUAGGAGUCGAUGAAGGACGGGACUAACGCCGAUAUGCUUCGGGGAGCUGUAAGUAAGCUUUGAUCCGAAGAUUUCCGAAUGGGGAAACCCACCAUACGUAAUGGUAUGGUAUCCUUAUCUGAAUACAUAGGGUAAGGAAGACAGACCCAGGGAACUGAAACAUCUAAGUACCUGGAGGAAGAGAAAGCAAAUGCGAUUUCCUGAGUAGCGGCGAGCGAAACGGAACAUAGCCCAAACCAAGAGGCUUGCCUCUUGGGGUUGUAGGACAUUCUAUACGGAGUUACAAAGGAACGAGGUAGACGAAGCGACCUGGAAAGGUCCGUCGUAGAGGGUAACAACCCCGUAGUCGAAACUUCGUUCUCUCUUGAAUGUAUCCUGAGUACGGCGGAACACGUGAAAUUCCGUCGGAAUCUGGGAGGACCAUCUCCCAAGGCUAAAUACUCCCUAGUGAUCGAUAGUGAACCAGUACCGUGAGGGAAAGGUGAAAAGCACCCCGGAAGGGGAGUGAAAGAGAUCCUGAAACCGUGUGCCUACAAAUAGUCAGAGCCCGUUAACGGGUGAUGGCGUGCCUUUUGUAGAAUGAACCGGCAAGUUACGAUCCCGUGCGAGGUUAAGCUGAAGAGGCGGAGCCGCAGCGAAAGCGAGUCUGAAUAGGGCGUUUAGUACGUGGUCGUAGACCCGAAACCAGGUGAUCUACCCAUGUCCAGGGUGAAGUUCAGGUAACACUGAAUGGAGGCCCGAACCCACGCACGUUGAAAAGUGCGGGGAUGAGGUGUGGGUAGCGGAGAAAUUCCAAUCGAACCUGGAGAUAGCUGGUUCUCCCCGAAAUAGCUUUAGGGCUAGCCUUAAGUGUAAGAGUCUUGGAGGUAGAGCACUGAUUGGACUAGGGGUCCUCAUCGGAUUACCGAAUUCAGUCAAACUCCGAAUGCCAAUGACUUAUCCUUAGGAGUCAGACUGCGAGUGAUAAGAUCCGUAGUCAAAAGGGAAACAGCCCAGACCGCCAGCUAAGGUCCCAAAGUGUGUAUUAAGUGGAAAAGGAUGUGGAGUUGCUUAGACAACUAGGAUGUUGGCUUAGAAGCAGCCACCAUUUAAAGAGUGCGUAAUAGCUCACUAGUCGAGUGACUCUGCGCCGAAAAUGUACCGGGGCUAAAUACACCACCGAAGCUGCGGAUUGAUACCAAUGGUAUCAGUGGUAGGGGAGCGUUCUAAGGACAGUGAAGUCAGACCGGAAGGACUGGUGGAGUGCUUAGAAGUGAGAAUGCCGGUAUGAGUAGCGAAAGAUGGGUGAGAAUCCCGUCCACCGAAUGCCUAAGGUUUCCUGAGGAAGGCUCGUCCGCUCAGGGUUAGUCAGGACCUAAGCCGAGGCCGACAGGCGUAGGCGAUGGACAACAGGUUGAUAUUCCUGUACCACCUCUUUAUCGUUUGAGCAAUGGAGGGACGCAGAAGGAUAGAAGAAGCGUGCGAUUGGUUGUGCACGUCCAAGCAGUUAGGCUGAUAAGUAGGCAAAUCCGCUUAUCGUGAAGGCUGAGCUGUGAUGGGGAAGCUCCUUAUGGAGCGAAGUCUUUGAUUCCCCGCUGCCAAGAAAAGCUUCUAGCGAGAUAAAAGGUGCCUGUACCGCAAACCGACACAGGUAGGCGAGGAGAGAAUCCUAAGGUGUGCGAGAGAACUUUGGUUAAGGAACUCGGCAAAAUGACCCCGUAACUUCGGGAGAAGGGGUGCUUUCUUAACGGAAAGCCGCAGUGAAUAGGCCCAAGCGACUGUUUAGCAAAAACACAGCUCUCUGCGAAGUCGUAAGGCGAAGUAUAGGGGGUGACACCUGCCCGGUGCUGGAAGGUUAAGGAGAGGGGUUAGCGUAAGCGAAGCUCUGAACUGAAGCCCCAGUAAACGGCGGCCGUAACUAUAACGGUCCUAAGGUAGCGAAAUUCCUUGUCGGGUAAGUUCCGACCCGCACGAAAGGUGUAACGAUUUGGGCACUGUCUCAACCAGAGACUCGGUGAAAUUAUAGUACCUGUGAAGAUGCAGGUUACCCGCGACAGGACGGAAAGACCCCGUGGAGCUUUACUGUAGCCUGAUAUUGAAUUUUGGUACAGUUUGUACAGGAUAGGCGGGAGCCAUUGAAACCGGAGCGCUAGCUUCGGUGGAGGCGCUGGUGGGAUACCGCCCUGACUGUAUUGAAAUUCUAACCUACGGGUCUUAUCGACCCGGGAGACAGUGUCAGGUGGGCAGUUUGACUGGGGCGGUCGCCUCCUAAAGUGUAACGGAGGCGCCCAAAGGUUCCCUCAGAAUGGUUGGAAAUCAUUCGUAGAGUGCAAAGGCAUAAGGGAGCUUGACUGCGAGACCUACAAGUCGAGCAGGGACGAAAGUCGGGCUUAGUGAUCCGGUGGUUCCGCAUGGAAGGGCCAUCGCUCAACGGAUAAAAGCUACCCCGGGGAUAACAGGCUUAUCUCCCCCAAGAGUCCACAUCGACGGGGAGGUUUGGCACCUCGAUGUCGGCUCAUCGCAUCCUGGGGCUGUAGUCGGUCCCAAGGGUUGGGCUGUUCGCCCAUUAAAGCGGUACGCGAGCUGGGUUCAGAACGUCGUGAGACAGUUCGGUCCCUAUCCGUCGUGGGCGUAGGAAAUUUGAGAGGAGCUGUCCUUAGUACGAGAGGACCGGGAUGGACGCACCGCUGGUGUACCAGUUGUUCUGCCAAGGGCAUAGCUGGGUAGCUAUGUGCGGAAGGGAUAAGUGCUGAAAGCAUCUAAGCAUGAAGCCCCCCUCAAGAUGAGAUUUCCCAUAGCGUAAGCUAGUAAGAUCCCUGAAAGAUGAUCAGGUUGAUAGGUUCGAGGUGGAAGCAUGGUGACAUGUGGAGCUGACGAAUACUAAUAGAUCGAGGACUUAACCAU